rnacentral:rRNA from 1 species
CCUACGGGAGGCAGCAGUGAGGAAUAUUGGUCAAUGGGCGGAAGUCUGAACCAGCCAUGCCGCGUGCAGGAUGACGGCUCUCCGAGUUGUAAACUGCUUUUGUACGGGGGUAAAAUGCUCUACGUGUGGGCUUUUGUAUGUACGGUAUGAAUAAGGAUCGGCUAACUCCGUGCCAGCAGCCGCGGUAAUACGGAGGAUCCGAGCGUUAUCCGGAUUUAUUGGGUUUAAAGGGUGCGUAGGUGGUUUGAUAAGUUAGCGGUGAAAUACCGCGGCUCAACCUCGGAGCUGCAGUUGAGACUGGAGGACUUGAGUACAGAUGCGGCAGGCGGAAUGUGUAGUGUAGCGGUGAAAUGCAUAGAUAUUACAAAGAACACCGAUUGCGAAGGCAGCUUACUAGGCUGCAUCUGACGCUGAGGCACGAAAGCGUGGGGAUCAAACAGGAUUAGAUACCCUUGUAGUC